GGCAGAGAGAGAGGGUGUGUGUGGGGCAGAGGGAGAGGGUGUGUGUGGGCAGAGAGAGAGGGUGUGUGUGUGUGUGGGGCAGAGAGAGAGGGUGUGUGUGUGUGGGGCAGAGGGAGAGGGUGUGUGUGUGUGGGGAGAGAGAGAGGGUGUGUGUGUGUGGGGGGCAGAGGGAGAGGGUGUGUGUGGGGCAGAGGGAGAGGGUGUGUGUGUGUGGGGCAGAGGGAGAGGGUGUGUGUGUGUGGGGCAGAGGGAGAGGGUGUGUGUGUGGCAGAGAGAGAGGGUGUGUGUGUGUGUGGGGCAGAGGGAAAGGGUGUGUGUGGGGCAGAGGGAGAGGGUGUGUG
ensembl:lncRNA